rnacentral:lncRNA from 1 species
GGAAUGAACAACGUAUUUUUCAAAAUAAUUGCGAAUAAUAUUAGAAAGAGUUGAUUCAUAAAACGUGAGCGUGAAAGUUGAUUUUCCACGUUAUUGAAAGUUGUAAGGGCUAAGGGUAAUUUCUGUUUUAGUAAUUGGACAUACUGCGACACUUUUCCCCCCUUCUCUUCCCUUCGCCCCUCUUCUGAUGGCUUCGCAACCGCGGUCGAAAAAAUGUAAAUAAAACUUCACGUCGUUCUGUCAUUGUAAUUGACAAAAUUUAUCCGAAGUUUUUCAACUCACACGGUUCUAUUCUUAGUGUUUUCAAGUUUUAACGAAGCAGUUUGUCGUGUUUUAUUCUUUAUGGCAUGGAAUCACCGCUUCUCUAGGUCCUAAGUGGCUCUGCAAACUUAUCAUAAACCUAAACCUUUCAAGGAAAAAGUAUGUGAAGUUCUUUUUACCUCAGUUUUGGUACAAAAUAACAAUGGAGAAUAUCCCUGUGCAGUUUACAGUUCCUCCGCCAAGUUACGCUAUGGCACCCCCGCCUCCUCUGCCAACAAUGGCUCCCCCCCCUGCCGAUGGCUCCCCCACCUCCACCACCACCAAUGAGCUCAUAUCAGCAGCAGACGCAACAGAUGUCCAAACAGAUGUCAGUACCAAUGUCAGGGGCGACUAACCCUACAUGGGUGACACCAGUGAAUGAUUGGCGAGGACCAAUGCCACGGCCAGUCAGGGCCUUCAAUUCAAGACAGCCAUGGCGAGGAGCUCAGCGCUUCAAGAAUCACUCUCGUUUCUCUCCGUACAAUCGGCAGCAGGCUCCUUACAACAACAAUUUUCAGCAAAAAAAGCAGCAGCAAGGAGUUUUUGCUGUCCCGUUUCCUCCAAGAAGAAUGAAAGUAGCUAAUAAAACCCCUGGAAGACCGGCCCCCUCUAAACCGGCAUCAGAGGCUGAAGGAGAAAACAGUGUCAAGAAAAAAGGCAAAAAGAGAUCAAUGUCUGAAAAGUAUCCGACAAAGCCAUGGAACCGGGAGGAUGCUGAGAAAGCUCUGGCGAUAGAAAACAAGUUCAGAAACUUGAACAGCAACAACGCUGUUAUGAUUAGAUUUCCUGAUCCAGAGCUGUCCAAGGAAAUCGUUAGAAGUUAUCAUCCUGGAAUCAAAUCGGUGCAUUUCCAAGCCCCAGUGGCCAAAGGUGAGAUUCUGAUCCUUAAUAGCUGAGAGAAAUGACAGCAAAUCUGUGGACUUUUAGUUGACAGCAAAAAAAAAGUAUUUCAUACGCCUCAUUUUUCAGAAAAUCAGAAUUAAUUUAUUAUUUUCACAAUUUGAGCAUCUGCGAUAUCAUUGAUUAUUUUCCCUUCAAAAGUCGUAUCCUUCUUUCACCUUUAAAAAAUCUCUUUUACAUGGACGUCAAGUAUCCUCUGCAGUCAUCUGGAAAUUGACAAAAUUCAAGU